GCAAACAUAGUUUAAAAAAACUUUAGAUUGUGAAUCUAAAAUUAGGAGUUAAAAUCUCUUUGUAUGCC
rnacentral:tRNA from 1 species